rnacentral:rRNA from 1 species
GACGAACGCUGGCGGCGUGCCUAAUACAUGCAAGUUGAGCGCUGAAGGUUGGUACUUGUACCAACUGGAUGAGCAGCGAACGGGUGAGUAACGCGUGGGGAAUCUGCCUUUGAGCGGGGGACAACAUUUGGAAACGAAUGCUAAUACCGCAUAAAAACUUUAAACACAAGUUUUAAGUCUGAAAGAUGCAAUUGCAUUACUCAAAGAUGAUCCCGCGUUGUAUUAGCUAGUUGGUGAGGUAAAGGCUCACCAAGGCGAUGAUACAUAGCCGACCUGAGAGGGUGAUCGGCCACAUUGGGACUGAGACACGGCCCAAACUCCUACGGGAGGCAGCAGUAGGGAAUCUUCGGCAAUAGACGAAAGUCUGACCGAGCAACGCCGCGUGAGUGAAGAAGGUUUUCGGAUCGUAAAACUCUGUUGGUAGAGAAGAACGUUGGUGAGAGUGGAAAGCUCAUCAAGUGACGGUAACUACCCAGAAAGGGACGGCUAACUACGUGCCAGCCGCCGCAGUAAUAC